rnacentral:lncRNA from 1 species
UUUAGAAAGCUUUGCUGCAUUCAUUGGAAUUAAGUUUCGUUAUGACAAUCCUGAUCUUAUUUGAAGGGAGACAUGGACUCAAUUUUCCCGCUACUAAGCUGUCAUUUCUGUAUGAAUAAUACGAAAGGACAAAACUUCAAGCGGUGCUGCAGAUUUCACCGUCGCAUCAUUUCAAGUCCAAUUCUAAAUGAAUGAAACCAACAUGGCAACCCCAGUUCCCAACCUAGAAAUCUGUAAAGUUGAUACGGUCAAAUGAACAUUCAGUGUCAAAUCAGCCUUCAUCGUCCGCUGGGUCUCUUCUCCAUUUUGACUCAUCAAAUUUCUAAUAGGGUUAGAGAGAGGACAUAAUUUGAAAUGAAUACAAACAAAAUACUACUACUCAUGGAAAUAUUGUUUUUUCUUUAGUAUCGGGUCUUAAUUGGAUGUUCAUAUUUAAUAAUAGGCAUAAUGAUUUCCAUUUUCACUAUCAGAAGAUGAAAAUUGAUUCCCACAAAGACAAUUUUCUUAUCUACAUAAAACCCUUAAUAAUUUUCGAAAGGAAAACUUUGCAUGACGAUAAAAAAGAACAAAAUGCUCGUUCUAAAACAAUAAAAAGAGUAAAAAAAAAAGAAGGAAAAGAAAUCAUUCGAGAUGAAAGCUAGAGAGAGAAAGAGACCAAUAUGGGCAUCAUAGCGAGCCGAGAACCCAUCGGAACACAAGAGCACUGGCUUUCUGAGAUGCCUCCUUUGAUCUGCGAUCCUUCCACUUUGGCAGGGAUUUCUCCGAUCGUUUCCGAGAAACCCCCCCUUGACGAGAGGAGCGGGAGAAGAGGCGAACCCUUCUCCCGUCCUCCGCCGAGAUAGAAAGAUCCGAUAUUAGGUUUGUUCGGAGAUGAACAUACCAG